GAAAUGACGAGCUAGUGUACAGUAUAUGUAACAACAUGGAAUGUGUUUUUGAGAGGGAAAUUAUCCAUUUGGCCAAUUGUGUUUUGACUACCUGCAGUUGUGGUUGCAACCACAUUGGGAGUGUCCUACAGAGUGGAUGGACCUCUGCACUUUCGUCGAGAAGAGUUCUGUUGGCUUGCUGCUCAGGACUACAAAGGGGAGUUUGACUACUCAAAGCCAAUGUUCUGGGGCUUUUUACUCCCACUCGCUGUAAUGCUUCUU